rnacentral:rRNA from 1 species
UACGAAGGGGGCGAGCGUUGUUCGGAUUUACUGGGCGUAAAGGGCGCGUAGGCGGCGUGUUAAGUCACUUGUGAAAUCUCUAAGCUUAACUUAGAACGGUCAAGUGAUACUGAUGUGCUAGAGUGCAGAAGGGGCAACCGGAAUUCUUGGUGUAGCGGUGAAAUGCGUAGAUAUCAAGAGGAACACCUGAGGUGAAGACGGGUUGCUGGGCUGACACUGACGCUGAGGCGCGAAAGCUAGGGUAGCAAACGGG